GACGAACGCUGGCGGCGUGCUUAACACAUGCAAGUCGAGCGGAAAGGCCCUGCUUUUGUGGGGUGCUCGAGUGGCGAACGGGUGAGUAACACGUGAGUAACCUGCCCUUGACUUUGGGAUAACUUCAGGAAACUGGGGCUAAUACCGGAUAGGAGCUCCUGCUGCAUGUGGGGGGUUGGAAAGUUUCGGCGGUUGGGGAUGGACUCGCGGCUUAUCAGCUUGUUGGUGGGGUAGUGGCUUACCAAGGCUUUGACGGGUAGCCGGCCUGAGAGGGUGACCGGCCACAUUGGGACUGAGAUACGGCGCAGACUCCUACGGGAGGCAGCAGUGGGGAAUAUUGCACAAUGGGCGGAAGCCUGAUGCAGCAACGCCGCGUGCGGGAUGACGGCCUUCGGGUUGUAAACCGCUUUCGCCUGUGACGAAGCGUGAGUGACGGUAAUGGGUAAAGAAGCACCGGCUAACUACGUG
rnacentral:rRNA from 1 species